rnacentral:lncRNA from 1 species
UACUGUAGAAAUCUCAUUGUCGGAGAAGCUCAGAUAUUGAUAAAGUCCGGAAGAAGUUCGGAGUAGGGUCGUCCGUGGCCAGAAGAAGUCUGGAAGGGAUUCGGAGAAUAGUUGAUCACUAUAGAAGAUCGGCUGAUAGUGAAGCCCAGAGAGCCUUUGGAGCGGCCCGAUAGAUGAAUGGAGAAGCUCAUUGUCAGAGAAGUCUGGAUGGUCGAAGGAGUUCAGAAAGACGUCACACAA